UGACACCUUAGAGCUUCCUAGCACUUCAGC
rnacentral:piRNA from 1 species